rnacentral:rRNA from 1 species
CUUGUAUCAACGGCAUCACGAGGAUUGCACUGUCUCCUUUCUCCAAUCAGUGAAACUGAUCUCCCCGUGAAAAAGCGGGAAUACAACCAUAAGACGAGAAGACCCCAUGGAGCUUUAAACUUACAACAUCUUAACUUCAUAGUCCCUUACAACUGAUAAGCCAUGCACGUAAGWUUUAGGUUGGGGWGACCACGGAGUAAAAAUCAACCUCCACGACGAAAAGAACUAAACCCUUUACCCAAGAGCUACCUCUCUAAGAACUAGCACACUAACGUUUAUGACCCGAUAAUCGAUCAACGGACCAAGUUACCCUGGGGAUAACAGCGCAAUCUACUUUGAGAGCUCAUAUCGACAAGUAGGCUUACGACCUCGAUGUUGGACCAGGGUAUCCGAG